rnacentral:lncRNA from 12 species
AGUCUGGCUGGAGCCCACGGACUGUAGAAACGGGGCAUAUGAAAGAACAGGUUGGGCAGUAGGAUGGGACAUAUCAUGUAUUAAGGAGUUGACACUUUUAUAGCACAGAUCCUACCAGAUGGAUAUCAAAAACCAUCUAUUGCCCACUGUGCCAUCCUAGCCAUUGCUAGGCGGAAGCUGAGCUAGAAGACUAAGCAGGUGCUCCAGCCACUGUUCAAGGACAUCUUCAAGGGCAGCCAGUUUACCACCUGCUGGGUUUCCUUCCUCAUGUGAUUUACCUGGAAUUUAAGAGGAAUACAGAUCCUGAAAUGUGUGAACCAACUGUUGUGAGCCUACCUGGGAAAUUAAUGACUAUCUGAUCAUCUGGAUUUGGAAGCAAUCAAUGAAUAGAAACAACAUGCAAGGUGUAUGCUUUGACUAGGAUAAGAAAUGGCUUAUCAAUCAGAUGUUCACUGCUUGGAUGGCACAGGGAUCUUUGCAGAUGCAUCUGUGCCUGAGUGGAACCUCUACUGACUUAUUUAUGAUAGACUUUAUCAAAACAAAUGUUUUUGACGAUGAAAAGACAAAAUCAUCAUCAUCAUCAUCAUUAUCUACCCAGCUUCCUUGUUUAUAGGAUCAUAAGGAAUUGUGUCCAUUUUACUAAUGAAGAUGCUAAGGUUCAGAAGUGUUAAAUGACUUCUCCAAAGUCACACAGCUUCCAUGGACAUGAAGCAGCUCCCAAAGCCACAUCUUUAAUAUGGCUCUGUUCUAAAAGGGAGCAUCAAUGUCAGCAGCCUCUCUGUUCUGCCCACGUUGUAAGGAUGGCGGAGAAAUUCUCCUUUUGGUGGACAGAGUAACUUACUGAUUGAGGAACUACAGGAAGUUCUUCACAUCAAGAUCUCUAUCCCACACGUUCAGUCUCAACUCCGCCCUUCCAGGACACUUGAGAGGGGCCAGAGUUAUACAGGAAGACAUACAGGUGGUUGGUAUCCGGUCCGAGAUUGUGCACAAGAGAGGGACCCCAGCUUCCUGAUACUUCUACCACAGAGUGUUUCUGCUCUCAGGAUAACUAAGGAAGCUCCUUAUUUAAAGGUAUACUUGGGUAAAUUGCUUUGUAAAGUAGAUACUUUUAUAUGCAGUUGCCUCUUAAUUUUUACACUUCUGUUAGAUUUCUUAAAGUGAGGACACACAUAACAUAGCCUUAGAAUGCAUAUGUUGGACAUUUAAUUUUGAACAUAUUUAGACUUGUGAGAGCAACUUAUCCUUUCUAUUUGUUGAACUAUUUCUCAGUUUAUUUAAGUGUAGACUUUUUUAUUAUGGUAAAAUAUAUAUAACAUAAGGUUUACUAUUUUACCAUUUUUAAGUGUACAGCAUGGUGGCAUUAAGUAAUCUGUGCAACCAUUACCACUAUCCAUUUCCAAAACUUUUUCAUCAUCCCAUACAGAAACUCUACCUACUAAACAAUAAUUCCCCACUCCCCUGCCCUUCAGUUCUGGUAACCUCUAUGUCCUGUCCCCAUGAAUUUGCCCAUCCUAGGUACUUCAUAUAAGUGGAAUCAUGAGUCAAAUAUGCCCUUUUGUAUCUGGCUUAUUUCACUUAGCAUAAUAUUUUCAAGGUUCAUCCAUGUUGUAGCAUGUAUCAGGAUGUCAUUCGUUUGUAAGUCUGAAUAAUAUUCCACGGAAUGUUUAUACCACAUUUGUUUAUUCACUUACCUGUUUAUGGACACUUGGUUUAUUUUCACCUUUUGGCUAUUGGGUUGCUAUGAGCAUUAGUAUACAAAUAUCUGUUUGGGCCCCUGCUUUCAAUUUGUUUGGGUAUAUAUAUGUACACCUAGGAAUAGAAUUGCUGAAUCAUAUGGUAAUCCUGUUUAAUGCUUUGAGGAGCUGCCAAACUGCUUUUCAUAGUAGCUAUACCAUGUAGUUAAGUAUGACUUUAAAACUUAUUCUAUCAUAGUUGUGACCUCAUUCAAAUAAAUGAUUCAGAUAGAAGACA